AGCGAACGCUGGCGGCAGGCCUAACACAUGCAAGUCGAACGAACCCUUCGGGGUUAGUGGCGGACAGGUGAGUAACACGUGGGAACGUGCCUCUAGGUUCGGAAUAACUCAGGGAAACUUGUGCUAAUACCGAAUGUGCCCUUCGGGGGAAAGAUUUAUCGCCUUUAGAGCGGCCCGCGUCUGAUUAGCUAGUUGGUGAGGUAAUGGCUCACCAAGGCUACGAUCAGUAGCUGGUCUGAGAGGAUGACCAGCCACAUUGGGACUGAGACACGGCCCAAACUCCUACGGGAGGCAGCAGUGGGGAAUCUUGCGCAAUGGGCGAAAGCCUGACGCAGCCAUGCCGCGUGGAUGAUGAAGGUCUUAGGAUUGUAAAAUCCUUUCACCGGUGAAGAUAAUGACUGUAGCCGGAGAAGAAGCCCCGGCUAACUUCGUGCCAGCAGCCGCAGUAACAC
rnacentral:rRNA from 1 species